CUUUGGGUUUCACUGUAAAUAAUGAAGUAAUAAUGUUGUAUUUAUUUUUAUUAUUAAACAUCUCAGAGAAAAACAGCUUCUGGAUUACCUGAAGUGCGCUGGCAACAUAAGUAGCAACAGACUUCCAGAUGAAGAAGCCUAUGUGGAACAUGUAGAAUGUUUCUAAAACAGAAAUCAAGGGCUCUUCUAAACUAGGAUCCUGAAGGAGAGCCAAUUUCAAAGGCUUCAUUUGGAGAUUACUGGAUUACUGACAGCAGACUGAAGACAUCACAUCUGGAGGAAAUCUCGUGUUUGGACUCACCAGUGUCUUACAGCCCUGAUCCUGCUUUUACCAAGACCAGGACUAAGGUGCCUCCUGAAGAGUUUUCAAGUAUUCUUCAAGUUGAAGAAAUAAAC
rnacentral:lncRNA from 1 species